CUUUACUCUCGCCGGCCGCGCGAACCCGUUUGAGCUCGGUAUCCUAGUGCACACGCCUUGCAAGCGACGGCGCCAUGAGUCUGACUUCCAGUUCCAGCGUACGAGUUCCCAUUCUGUGAUGGGGCUCACACAAAACAUAACGAAGAGACUGGAGACAAUGUGGGCCCUCUGAUCAUCAAGAAAAAAGAAACUUAAAUGGACACUUUUGAUGCUGCAAAUCAGCUUGUCGUGAAGUUACCUGAUUGUUUAAUUAGAAUGACUACCACCUCUGUCUGAUUCACCUUCGCUGGAUUCUAAAUGUGGUAUAUUGCAAACUGCAGCUUUCACAUUUAUGGCAUUUGUCUUGUUGAAACAUCGUGGUGCACAUUUGUUUAAACAAAAAAAAAAAAAAAAAGGAAAAACCAACCUGCAUGGCCUGUGGGUUAUUUUGGUCUUGUAAGGAUCCAUUUCUUUAAAAUACUGACAUAUAGAGUUGUACCUUAUAUAGAAUAUAGUUGUAUCUUGAAGUCAACAUAUUAAAUUAUUC
rnacentral:lncRNA from 1 species